rnacentral:rRNA from 1 species
UGCAAGUCGAGCGGAUUAAUGGGAGCUUGCUCCCGUUAAUUAGCGGCGGACGGGUGAGUAACACGUGGGCAACCUACCUAUAAGACUGGGAUAACUUCGGGAAACCGGAGCUAAUACCGGAUGAUACUAAGGAACUCCUGUUCCUUACUUGAAAGAUGGCUUC